AUUGAACGCUGGCGGCAUGCCUUACACAUGCAAGUCGAACGGUAACAGGUCUUCGGAUGCUGACGAGUGGCGAACGGGUGAGUAAUACAUCGGAACGUGCCCGAGAGUGGGGGAUAACGAAGCGAAAGCUUUGCUAAUACCGCAUACGAUCUCAGGAUGAAAGCAGGGGACCGCAAGGCCUUGCGCUCACGGAGCGGCCGAUGGCAGAUUAGGUAGUUGGUGGGAUAAAAGCUUACCAGGCCGACGAUCUGUAGCUGGUCUGAGAGGACGACCAGGCACACUGGGACUGAGACACGGCCCAGACUCCUACGGGAGGCAGCAGUGGGGAAUUUUGGACAAUGGGCGCAAGCCUGAUCCAGCCAUGCCGCGUGCAGGAUGAAGGCCUUCGGGUUGUAAACUGCUUUUGUACGGAACGAAAAGACUCCUUCUAAUAAAGGGGGUCCAUGACGGUACCGUAAGAAUAAGCACCGGCUAACUACGUGCCAGCAGCCGCGGUAACAC
rnacentral:rRNA from 1 species